rnacentral:rRNA from 1 species
CGCUGGCGGCAUGCUUUACACAUGCAAGUCGAACGGCAGCGCGGACUUCGGUCUGGCGGCGAGUGGCGAACGGGUGAGUAAUAUAUCGGAACGUACCCAAGAGUGGGGGAUAACGUAGCGAAAGUUACGCUAAUACCGCAUACGAUCUAAGGAUGAAAGCAGGGGAUCGCAAGACCUUGUGCUCCUGGAGCGGCCGAUAUCUGAUUAGCUAGUUGGUGAGGUAAAGGCUCACCAAGGCAACGAUCAGUAGCUGGUCUGAGAGGACGACCAGCCACACUGGAACUGAGACACGGUCCAGACUCCUACGGGAGGCAGCAGUGGGGAAUUUUGGACAAUGGGCGCAAGCCUGAUCCAGCAAUGCCGCGUGAGUGAAGAAGGCCUUCGAGUUGUAAAGCUCUUUUGUCAGGGAAGAAAAGGUUGCGGCUAAUAUCCGCAACUGCUGACGGUACCUGAAGAAUAAGCACCGGCU